GUUUCUUCUUCUUCUUU
rnacentral:sRNA from 1 species